CCUGCUGCACAUGUUCGGGCAAGUUCCACCACUGCGUCGCUACUACUGUCGGACUUUGAGUGAAAGUGGAUUGGUUUGUGUGAAGAUGCAGUGGAGGUGCAAAUACUGUAUGCAUGGAGUUCAACAGGAUUGUUGGCAAGAAUCUCAAGCAGGAAUUCUAUGAGAGCAUCGAUCGACAUAGUCCUCGUCUUGUCGAGAUUUUUCGAUCCA